GUGGGGAAUAUUGGGCAAUGGAUGCAAGUCUGACCCAGCCAUGCCGCGUGGAGGAAGAAGGUCCUCUGGAUUGUAAACUCCUUUUUUGGGGGAAGAAUAGUUCUCUUGCGAGGGAAUGUGACGGUACCCUAAGAAUAAGCCACGGCUAACUACGUGCCAGCAGCCGCGGUAAUACGUAGGUGGCAAGCGUUGUCCGGAUUUAUUGGGUUUAAAGGGUGCGUAGGGGGUUUGAUACGUCAGUGGUGAAAGCUGGUUGCUCAACAAUCAAGUUGCCAUUGAUACUGUCGGACUUGAGCGAAGUGGAGGUUCAUGGAAUGGAUGGUGUAGCGGUGAAAUGCAUAGAUAUCAUCCAGAACGUCGAUUGCGAAGGCAGUGGGCUGUACUGUAUCUGACACUGAGGCACAAAAGUGUGGGGAUCAAACAGGAUUAGAAACCCUGGUAGUCC
rnacentral:rRNA from 1 species